GCAGGUUGGAGCAAUACAUGUUAAAUAUGUUAAAGUAUAAAUUAAAUACAAAAUAAGUAUAUAUGUCCAAACAGUUAUUUUGCUGUACAAAAAGAAUCAGACUCUGAAAUAGUGUAUAAUUAGUCUGUGAAGGAAAUCAAAAAUGCAGGAAGACAAAAAUAUAGGGAUUGGGAAUUCUAUGUAAUGGUUUUUAGUCAUCUCCCAGAAGGAACUAAUUUCUUUAUUAUUAUUAUUAUUAUUAUUGUUAUACCUUUUUAUUUACAAGUUAUAUGCAUGGCUAAUUUUACAGCAUUGACAGUUGCCAAACCUUUUGAGGAACUAAUUUCUUAUGCCAUAUAGCAUAAUAAAAGCAAAAGAAAUGUUACCUAAAUAUUGAAAAACAUAAAAAAAAUCAAAAUCAUUUCUUAAGCACUUACUCUGUGUCAGGCACUGUGCUGGAGAAGGAUGAUACCAUGAGAAGAGGAAUUCAUUUUUUCAACUCUAAUUUUCAAAUUUUAAUUUUUUUCCAAUUGCAUGUGAAAACAAAUUUUAACAAUCACUUCUAAAAUUUUGAGCCUCCAAAUUUUCUUCUUUCCUCAAUGAGAAAGCAAUUUGAAAUGUUAUAUAUGUGAAGUCAUGAAAAACAUUUUCACAUUAGUCAUGUUGUGAAACAAAAGAGGUUUUUUGUUUUUGUUUUUGUUUUUUUUUAAUAAACUUUAAUCUUCAUUCAGAGUCCAUCAGUUUUUCCUCUGGAAGUGUCUAGCAUUUUUCAUCUUAAGUCCUUCAGAAUAAUCUUGGAUCACUGUAUUGCUGAGUCAGGGGUAGCUAGGUAAAAGAGGAGACAAAGCACUGGCCUGGAGUCAGGAAGACUUGAGUCCAAAUCCAGUGACCCUAGGCAAGUUAUUUAACUCUGUCACAGUUUCCUUAUCUGUAAAAUGUGCUGGAGAAGGAAAUGGUCAACUGCUCCAGCAUCUUUGGCACCAAAAAACCCUCCAAAAACAAAAACACAAACCACAAACCCUAAAUAGGGUCACAAAGAGUGAGGCUUGACUGAAAAAACAAAAAGUUAAGUCAUUCAGAAUUUAUCAUUGUGUGAAUAUUGAUGUGACUGUGUACAACAUUGUUCUGGUUCUGUUAUGCCACAGUUAUGUCCUGACUCAGUUUCCCUAAUUAUCCUGACCCAGUCCUGACUCAGUUUCUCUGUUUCAGUCAAAGCUCAGUGCUGCAAAACUUCCUCUCCCUCUUUAUCAGAAUAAUUGCUAAGGAUAAUGGAUCUUAUGUUUUAGAAUAUCAGAAUGCCUCUCCCCAAAUUCAGGGUGCCUUCCGCUGAUUGUCAUCUCAUCUCCCAUGGCUCAUCCCACCCUAUCACAGUCCCCUUUCCACUCUCAGCACCCUGACUCCGCCCCUGCCUCAGUCUACUUCUACGUCUGAGCCACAUGUAUAUAUGUUAUUGAGAAUCACAUUGUUUGCUGGAUUCUUGGAGACGGUAAUCUCAUUCAGCCCUGGGACCAAACCAUGGAUCCAUUUGGUUCUAGUAAUCUCUCCAUUUAAUAAAUUAAAUAUUUUCUAAUCUCUAUCUUGCUCAGUUUCUCUGGCAUUACAAUUCUACUCCAUUUUGCAUCAAUUCAUGUAAGUCAUUCCAAGUUUUCCUGAAAAUAUCCUGCUUGUCAUUUCUUAUAGCACAACUUUAUUCCUUCAAAACAUAUGCCAAAAUUUGUUCAGCCAUUCUCCUAUUGAUUGGCAUUAGGGGAUGAAUUUUUAAAUAAAAGAAGCAAUUACAAAUGAUAAAUUAGGUCAUUGUGAUUGCAUGAAAAGCUUUUACAUAAACAAAAUGUACAUAUCUAGAAUAAGAAGGGAAAUGGUCAACUUGAAAUGUUUCAAAACUUUGCAAUAGAGAGAAAAAAAAUGAGGGUAGGAAGUGGCAAGACAGCAAUUGGGUUCAACCAACACAAAGAUUAUACCAAGGGGAAAAAAUAGUUUGAAGGGAAUGGAAGUAGGAAAAGGAGGAUCCAACUAAUACCCCAACUUGUUCUGUGUUCAUGCUUGUGGAUUGUGUCCCCAAAGGGAAACUACCCCAGGAUCUAGGGUAUCCUGAGGAUGUAUUUCUUAAAUGAGCUCCUCAUCAGUGUACUUCCCUUUAACAGCUAAAAGACUCAGUAGUCUUUUUGCUCAAAGCAAAGGUAUUUGCUAAAAUUGUAGAGUAAAAGCAGUAGCCACAAAAUCUGGAGUUAAUACAUACAGUAUCUAUGGGAAAAGAACACAUUGAUAAGAUACAAAAAUAGUGAUGCACACAUGUAAUGUUCUUGGUUGGUUUUCUGGAGGUUUUGGAGCAGCCUUCUUUUCAGCCAAGUAAUUACCUCAAGAAUAGCCAGGUAUUAAAGUCCAAAUUCUUUAUUGUCUCCUUCAAAGUCUAGUUUCCUUGCCUGGGGCUCGGGCUAAUUUUCUUAAGGCCUUGGUCUCAGUGGAGAAAUGCAGGAGGAUAGGCCAGCCACCAUGGUAGUGUGAGAUGAAGUAAAUGUCUUUGGCUCUUCUAAGUCUUUCUCCAAGCCCUUCUGAGUCAGUCUCUGGCUCUGACUCUGGCUGAGUUUGUCACAGUUUUAUAUCUUCUAUUUUGAGUAUAAAGUAAUCAUUAUAUCACUAGGAAACCAUUAUUUGUUGUAAGAUUAAAUCAAUCAUACUGAAUUUAGAUAACUAUUAAUCGCCAUGCUAAACUAGAUAACCAUUGUCUCAUCAAUUCCACUGAAUUAGCAUCUUGUAAGAAUCCUUUUAAGUAUAGAGUUCUGGCCCAUAACACACACAGAUCAGAAUCUCCUGUAGUCAAGGCCUUUAAUUCCUCUCUACUCCCUCAAACUUCAUGGCAUCCUUUGUGAAACUCAACUUUCCAUUAUCAGACUUUUUUUUUUUUUUUUUUUCUUUUCUUCUCUGCUAUUAGGAUCAGGGAUUAUGCUUCAUGAAGUUUCUUCCAGGUUCAAGGAACUAUUUGUUUCAAUAUUGUUUGGAGACUAUUUCCUUUAGCUGUAUCUGGAGUUUUCAAAAUGACUCUCCCAAGUGUUCAAAAGGACUAUCUCUUGGUGUGUAGUACUUCUGCUGAUGGCCAUUGUGGGAUAGGAUACUGAAGCGAUAGGAACUGAAAGAACUUGGUCCUCAAAGAUGAUCUGUUUUCUUCCCUGACUGCUGGUUACUGCCAUCUACUAUUUCCAGCUCUUAAAAUGUCUGUAAGAUCUAGCUAUUUAAAGCUUCCAGGAAAAUGGCUUAAUUAUAGCCUAGAUAACAGCAUCACAUAACUCUUCAUCCAUUAGCUCCUUAUACCAAUGAAAUCAUGAAUCCACAUAAUCUUCAAUGAGGUAAACAGCAAGGUGUUUUGUUUUUCCUGAUGUGCAUAAUAAAGCCAGAAAUGACUGGUAGACAAUGACUUGGCUUCCUCCCUUACCUUUUUAUUUGCAUGAUAGAUCAAGAUGGAUCUAAAGAUCCUAAUCCUAAACCAGGUAAUUAGCUGGGUAAAAGGACUAUGAUUUUGAAUCAAAAUAAAGGAUUAAAGAUUUAAUUUUGGCCUUCAGGCACUGUGGCCAGCACCGGUAAUCUGAAUGUGAUCUGGCUGUGACAAAAAAAGCUGACAAGCUGCCUUUCCUAGACUAUAAGGUCUUCUAGUUGCCACUUGACUGUAUGCCCUCCAUGAUUACUGGCAGAGAACCUCGAAAACAUGAAGCUCAGAAGAAAUUAGAGGGAACAAUUACCUAUGAUAAAAUACAAAACCUGUAGCACUGAUGUGGUGUGGGAAGGGGGAAGAGAUCCCCUCAGCUCAGAAACUCAGGUCCAAAUGGGAAGGAAUUCCCAGACCCUAAAAUCCACUGAUUUGCCACUGCAAAAGGGAAGGUUUAUUUUCCACUAAGAAGCUCUCUCUUAGGGGACAAAUCUCUUAAUGAUUUUUGCAAAGAAUGUGUUAACAGAAAUCUAUUUUAUGAGCAAAUCUUGGGGCUGAGGACAGUUUGAACUGAUUAUCAGAUCAAGAUCUCCCAAUUGAAUGAAAUUACUUUGAAAGCUUUUUCCAGAAUUUGGAGUUUCCUGAAUGGGGAUCUGGCUACCCAAAAGCUUAAUGGGAGGUUAUUUGCCCGAGAUUUCCCAUUGAAUGAUGCUGCUUAUCUUAGAAAAAAAACCCAUGUGGAAAAUAUGCCCCCUCCUAGACAGUCUGGGAAACCCCCAAAUCUCCCUUCUUUUAUAGAUCAAAGGGGACACAGUUUCAGAGUGCUUAUUUUAUAGAUUAAAGGGACACAAUUUCAGAAUGAUUAUUUUACAGAUUAAAGGGGACACAAUUUCAGAGUUCACCCAUGUCAGAAUGAUGUGCCUAUCAGACAGCAAUGAAUUCCAGCAGAGUAAGAAGCAGAAAUUAUUUCCCUCCAUCCCAUCUCCCCCAUUUUCUCCAUUCACCCUGUUCCUUAAGUGUAACAUUUCUUAUUACUGUUUCCCCAAUCCAUUUUCCCUUCUAUGAGCACCCCCCUACCCCUUUCACUUCCUACUUUCCUGUUAAGGUAAAUUUCUUUGCCCAACUUGAGUGUAUGUUAUUCCCUCCAUAAGGCAAUUGUGAUUGAAUUUCACUCAUUCCCACCUAUCUCCCCCAUCUUCCCCUCCAUAGGUAAAAGCUUUUGCAUGCUUUUUAUGUCAGAUAAUUUACCCCAUUUUACUUCUCCCAGUGCAUUUUUGGUUUCUCAUCCCAUAACAUUUUUUUAGAUAAUUACCCCACUAUAUUCAAUUCACACCUCUGUCAUCUCUAUGAAUACUCCUAACUGCCCUAAAUUUUUUUAGGCCUUACAAGUAUCCUUUUAUCAUGUAGGAAUGUAAUGUAACCUUUAUUUAACCUUUAACCUUAUUAAAUCUGGUAUGAUUUCUCUUUCCUAUUUAAUUUUUUAUGCUUCUCUUGGGUCUUGUAUUUGAAAGUCAAUUUUCUACUAAGUUCUGGUCUUUCCAUCAGAAAUGUUGGAAAAUUCUCUAUUUCAAUGAACACACACUUUUUCCUCUUAAGGAAUUUAUAUUGUGGGUAGAUGAUUCUUAGUUGUUUGUAAUCCUAGAUCUUUUGAUCUCUGGAAUAUCAUAUUUCAAGCAUUUAAUGUCUGCUAAAUAUUGUUAUCUUGAUUGUGGUUUCAUGAAGUUUAAAUGGUUUAUUUUUGGAGACUUGCAAUAUUUUCUCCUUGAUUGAAAGCUCUGGAAUUUGGCUAUAAUAUUCUUUGGGAGUUUUUGUUUUGGGAUCUCUUGCAGGUGAUGAUUGGUGAAUUCUUUCAAUUUCCAUUUUACAUUCUUGUUUUAAAACAGGACAGUUUUAUUUGAUAAUUUCUUGAAAGAUGAUGUCUAGGCUCUUUGUUUUUCCUUUGGAUUAAUAAUUUUUAAUUUCCUGGAUCUUUUUUCCAGGUCAAUUGGUUUCCCAAUGAGAUAUUUCACAUUUUCUUCUUUUUCACUAUUUUGAUUUUAUUUUGUUGCCUCUUGAUGUCUCAUAAAGUCAUUAGCUUCAAUUUGCCCAAUUCUGUUUAAGUCCAAAUUUGAACUCAGGUCUUUCUAACUAUAGGGCUGGUAUCAUAUCCAUUUAAUUAUCCUCAAUUCUUUUUAAGGAGUUCUUCAGUGAAUUGUUGUACCUCUUUUUCCAUUUGGCCACUUCUGCUUUUUAAGGAAUCUUUUCAUUGGACUUUUGUGGCUCUUGUGAAUUAUGUCUCUUUUAUUCUUUGAACUAUUCUAUUUAGGAUGUUAUUUUCUUCAGUAUUUUUUGUGUUUCCAUUAUCAAACUGUUGACUGUUUUUUCCAUGAUUUUCUUGUAUCACCCUCAUUUCUCUUCCCAAUUUUUCCUCUGUUUCUUAUUUGAAUUUUUAAAUCCUUUUAGAACUCUUCCAUGGCUUGAGACCAAUUCUUAUUUUUGAGGCUUUGGAUAUAGCAGCUUUGUUUUCUUUCGAGUUUGUGUUUUGAGCUUCCUUGUCACCAAACUUUCCACAGUCAGGAUCUUUUUCCUGUUGUUUGCUCAGUUUUCUAUUUCUUGACUUUUAAUUCUAUGUUAAAGUGGGGCUCUGCUUUCAGAGUAACAAAGGAACUGCCCUAAGCUUCAGGUUUUUUCUGCAGCUAUUUUCAGAGAUAAUUCUGGGAGCCUGUAAGUUUAUAUGGCUCUUCUGAGGUGGUAUGAUCUAGGGAAAGGUGUAUUUGAUGCUCUUCUGGUCUGUUAGCAACCACCAAGCACUCUUUUCUAUUUUAGAACUAUGACCAAGGUUCCAGCUCCCUACAAGCUCUGGUGUGUUAGUGCUCCUCUGUGCCCUGGAAUUGUUACCCAGAUACAUGGGCAAUACAAGAGAGAUAUGCCCCCUAGUUCCAGAAAAGGAACCUCUAUAAUCCCCUUCUGACCAGUUGUCUGACUCCCUUUUUGUUUGUGGGUUAAGAGGUCUAGAAACACAACUAUUGCCAUUGAUUCAAUUGCUCUCAUAUCCUACAGCCUGAACUACACUUUUACUCCAAGGCAAAAGACUCUUCCUGCUGACCCUCUAAGUUGUGUUGGGCUACAAAAUUGGUUCAUUCUGUUCUUUUGUGGGUUCUGCCAUGUUAGAAUUUGCUUUGGGACAUUAAAGUUGUUUGUAGAGGUUUUAAGGAAAGCUCAGAAAUCUCCUCUUUUUCUUCACAUCUUGGCUCCAUCUUUCCCAUGUAAUCUCUUCAUUGACAAAUUCGGUCAUUUCUUAGUCCUUAUCCUUUUCAAUCUUUUUAGGUGUCAUUUGACACUGUUGUCAUCUCUCUUCUGUGGAACUUUCUUUUCUGGGUCUCAGAAUUUUGGUCCCAGUUCUACUGUCUGAUUGCUUUUGGUUUCAUUUGCUAACUUAUCCCUAUCACAACUUCUAACUGUGGUUAUUAUCUAAGGCUCUUUCUUGGGUCCUUUUUUUCUGUCUAUGCUGUCUCGAUUAGUGAUCUCAUUAGCUCUCAUGAAUUUAAUAUUAUCUCUAGGCAGAUAACUCACUUUUUUUUUUUUAUAUAUACAGCAUAUCUCUCCCUUGAGUUUUAGUCCUCUAUCACCAAUUGGCUAUCAGACCUUUAAAACUGGAUGUCCUGGAGAUAACUUAACUCAUCACACAGAAAGCAGAAUACAUCAUAUUUCCUCCAAACCCACUGUUCUUCCAAAUUUCACACUUUUGUCAAAGGAAAGGUCAAAGGAAGAGUUCUUUGUUGACUUCACAGAGAGAAGUUUAGUUGAAUGGUGGGACAGAAGUGAGAUUUCAAAGGGGUUAAGAAAAGUAAAUGGGAGAUGAGAGAAUAAAAGCAUAGAUGUAUAAAGCAAAAUAGGGGGGAAAUGAACAUUUAAAUUUA
rnacentral:lncRNA from 1 species